GACGAACGCUGGCGGCAUGCCUAACACAUGCAAGUCGAGCGAGUAGAUCCCUUCGGGGUGAAGCUAGCGGCGGACGGGUGAGUAACACGUGGGCAACCUGCCUCAUAGAGGGGAAUAGCCUUCCGAAAGGAAGAUUAAUACCGCAUAAGAUUGUAGUACCGCAUGGUAUAGCAAUUAAAGGAGCAAUCCGCUAUGAGAUGGGCCCGCGGCGCAUUAGCUAGUUGGUGAGGUAACGGCUCACCAAGGCGACGAUGCGUAGCCGACCUGAGAGGGGGAUCGGCCACAUUGGGACUGAGACACGGCCCAGACUCCUACGGGAGGCAGCAGUGGGGAAUAUUGCACAAGGGGGGAAACCCUGAUGCAGCAAUGCCGCGUGAGUGAUGACGGCCUUCGGGUUGUAAAGCUCUGUCUUCGGGGACGAUAAUGACGGUACCCGAGGAGGAAGCCACGGCUAACUACGUGCCAGCCGCCGCCGUAA
rnacentral:rRNA from 1 species